UGGAUGAAUAGAUACUGGAUUAUUAGUAUAUCCAACAAAUAUUGGAUUGUAGAGAAACAUUAGUAACAUUAGUCCUCUCCCUCAAGAAUGUGUUGUGACAAGCUAUCCCUAGUUAAAUGAAGAUUUCCUGUGACCAAUCUAAUACACAAUGCCUUCUACAAAUCAUAUAGAGUCUCUCCCUUGGAAGGCAAGGAGGUCAAACCAGUCAAUCCUGAAAGAAAUCCACCCUGAAUAUUCAUUAGAAAAACUGACAGUGAAGCUGAAGUUCUAAUACUUUGGCCACCUGAUGCAAAGAGCCGACUCAUUGGAAAAGACCCUGGUGCUGGGAAAGAUUGAAGGCAAAAGGAGAAGAGGGCAACAGAGGAUGAGAUAGAUAGCAUCACUGACUCAAUGGACAUGAAUUUGAGCAAACUGCAGGAGACAGUGAAGGACAGGGGAGGCUGGUGUGCUGCCGUCCAUGGGGCCACAGAGUCAGACACAAUGUAGCAACUGAACAACGAUAACAGCAAUAAGUAUUUUAUUAUUAUUAUUAUUAUUAUUAUUACAAUGGCAAUAUGUUAAAGAAAUCCAAGCAAAUUUUGGUCACUUGGGUGGGUGGAUAAUAGUCUUUUACUGCAGUUUUGAUUUUCAUUUCGUGUAUUUACCAGCCAUUUGAAUACCCUGUUUUGUGAAAUGAUUGUUCAAGUCUUUUGCCUGUCUUUUUUCUUGGGUUGUCUGUUUUUUCAAGUUGGCUUUUAGGAGUUCCUUAUACCUUUGGAGGAGUCCUUUGCUGGAUAUGUCCUACAAAUAUCUUCUCUGUGACUUGCUUUUUCAUUCUUAAUGAUGAUUUUUUAAUGGAAUAGAAGUCCUUAGCUUUAAUAUAAUCCAAUUUAUCAAUCUUUUCUUUUAUGGUUAGUACUUUCUGUGUUCUGUUUGAGAAAUCUUGGCCUAUUUUAAGGUCAUGAAGAUAUUCUCUUAUGUUUUCUUCUAAAAGCUGUAUUAUUCUACCUUUACAUUUACAUUUGUAAUUUUUACAUGUGGUUUGAGGUAGAGAAUCAAGACUUU
rnacentral:lncRNA from 1 species